ACGCCGCGUGAAGGAAGAAGGCCCUCUGGUUGUAAACUUCUGUAGAGUGGGAAGAAUUUUCGCUUCUGGCGAAUUGACGGUACCACUAAAGUAAGGGUCGGCUAACUACGUGCCAGCAGCCGCGGUAAUA
rnacentral:rRNA from 1 species